rnacentral:rRNA from 1 species
GACGAACGCUGGCGGCGUGCCUAAUACAUGCAAGUAGAACGCACAGUUUAUACCGUAGCUUGCUACACCAUAAACUGUGAGUUGCGAACGGGUGAGUAACGCGUAGGUAACCUGCCUGGUAGCGGGGGAUAACUAUUGGAAACGAUAGCUAAUAACGCAUAAUAUUGAUUAUUGCAUGAUAAUUGAUUGAAAGAUGCUAUUGCAUCACUACCAGAUGGACCUGCGUUGUAUUAGCUAGUAGGUGAGGUAACGGCUCACCUAGGCGACGAUACAUAGCCGACCUGAGAGGGUGAUCGGCCACACUGGGACUGAGACACGGCCCAGACUCCUACGGGAGGCAGCAGUAGGGAAUCUUCGGCAAUGGACGAAAGUCUGACCGAGCAACGCCGAGUGAGUGAAGAAUGGUUUCGGAUCGUAAAGCUCUGUUGUAAGAGAAGAACGGGUGUGAGAGUGGAAAGUUCACACUGUGACGGUAUCUUACCAGAAAGGGACGGCUAACUACGUG